ensembl:lncRNA
GGAGCCGGCAGCUGAUCCAAUGACGGCAGCGAUGCGAGAGGGUCCCAGGUGGAGUCGUGACUCAAGUAGCACUCCAAGAUGGGGAGGUGUUUGAGGGAGCGAGGGGAGAGGGUACGGGGGGGGUGGGGGGGGGGGGGCACACAAGCGGCGCCCUGUGUGACAAGCUGCCUGUUGUGUGUGUAUACUCCUUGACAGCGGGGAAAGCAAAGAGACAGCAGACCUCUGCCCCCCUCCCUCCCUCCCCUCGCCGGACCUCCGCCAAAGUACGACGGGACUCAUAUUUAUUCCCCCUGAGCGGCAGUGGCAGGCGUGUCCUCCUCUGCUGCCCCCGCGCUUGUUUCAGUGAAACUGGCGUUGAAAUAGCAGGAAGAUGUUCGCCGAGCAGCACGCGACGGGGAAGCCGAAGCUUCACUAUGAGGAUUCAUCAUCACAAGGCUUUGCCUUCGCAUAUACAAAGGCUUUGUUGGGAGGAGACCAUCAGAUGGAUCUAACCACGUUUCAGCACACACUCUGGGACAUCCUGACAAACGGAGGCCGUGUCAAGAGGUCGCCUCGCGUCGGCAGCGGCCCCCGGUUCAGAGCCGAAACGCGCAUCUCCAGAAGACGUGACUCAUACGGUAGAAGAUCAAAGACACACAUGGUGCACCAGGCGUGGGUGAAGAUCCUCCCUUAAAGGCAGCGGACAGAGGUAAGUUAUCAAACCAUCUCGCUUCCCACUCGCACAAUGCACCCCCCCCCCCCCCCUCUCCUCUACGGGUCACAAGCUCAGGGGUUUGGGUGCUUCUUUGAAUGCUAGUUGCGUAAAGAUCGCAUCAAAGUGGGCACAGUUGCUCAACUAGAUCUUAUGAGCUUAUGAGAAAGUAAGGCUGCCAACGGAACACAUGGAAACAUGUAAAACCUCGCACGUUUUAAUAGUUUGGAUCGUACAGAAUGGCAAAUAUAGAGAACAAACAUGCUGCUGAACAAUUGCUGGAAAAUAUUUACUACAGAGUUGGACUAAUCCAAAUUUGUGAUUUGAUCUUUACCUCCACCUUGAGUGAAAAACAAUGCAAUUUGAUUCUCAAGCUUUGGCACUAACUCAAUUUAAAUAUCUUAUGAUGGCCGAUCGCCCUACUUUUAAAACCUAGAUGUGUAGUUCUUGGGAUUAUUGUAUCUUUUGAAGAAGCACAUGCGCUGGGGGGGAUUGCGGUGUUUUUUCGUACCACCACUGGGAGGGGCCCAAGCUAGAAUGGACAAAUCUUAAAAAUAGUGGCGUUAACUAAUAAAUACACUAAAAGGUAUAUGCACAAUUAUAAAUAAUUUUGUUUCGUAGAUGUAUUUUUAUUGACAAGCUACUUUUUGUACUAUGUAAUGCACAAACUAUUGCUGCAAUCGAGGAUUGUUAUAUGUCUAUUUGGGACAUGUGUUGUCAUUGUGGGGACAGAAUUUGCGGUGGUGAAAUGUGCAGGGAACUCUACAAACAAACGCAGCCAUCAAACACUUUUCAAAUAUCCUGCUGUUGAAUAGAAGUAUUCCAGCAUACCUAUUGUCUGAGAACAACAAACAGAUUACCCAUGCAUGAGAGCUUUCCAUUUCUUUGGCCCUCCUUCCGCACCAAAUAUAUGUGAGAAUGCACUUAGUGUGGGUGUGGGGCUUAUGUGCGAGGCUGUUUGUGUGCGUCUCGUUUUUUUUUUUGUUUUCAAGGUGAUGCAGCUAGUUUAUUCCCACCUUCACGCCACAAGCAUAUUAUCCCGCUCCAGCUGCUUCGAGGAGACAGGCGCAGGUAUUUAUGGCUAGCAUAAAAAGCGUGUGCAUUUCCCUGUCACCCUACAGCUCCUGGUUUACGGCACGUUUGACAAACACGCUGAAUAAAAAAGAAAAAAAAUGAAAGAAGGAGACUGUUCAAUUUGUAUAGUAGUAGUAGAGUUUACAGCCUGUCUGUUGUGCAUGUUCCCCCAACGGAAUCUGCUGUUAGGACACGUGUGUG